rnacentral:rRNA from 1 species
GGAGCUUGCUCCUGCUGACGAGUGGCGCACGGGUGAGUAACGCGUGGGAACCUGCCUUUUUCUGCGGGAUAACGGUUGGAAACGACCGCUAAUACCGCAUACGCCCUACGGGGGAAAGGUCCGCCGGAAAAAGAGGGGCCCGCGUCUGAUUAGCUUGUUGGUAGGGUAAUGGCCUACCAAGGCAACGAUCAGUAGCUGGUCUGAGAGGAUGAUC